rnacentral:rRNA from 1 species
AAGAUCGCGGCGACGUGGGCGGUUCGUUGCCCGCGACGUUGUGAGAAGUCCACUGAACCUUAUCAUUUAGAGGAAGGAGAAGUCGUAACAAGGUUUCCGUAGGUGAACCUGCGGAAGGAUCAUUG